UACGUAGGGGGCAAGCGUUGUCCGGAUUUAUUGGGCGUAAAGAGCGUGUAGGCGGCUUUGCAAGUCCGUUGUGAAAACUCGAGGCUCAACCUCGAGACGCCGGUGGAAACUGCAAAGCUAGAGUCCGGAAGAGGAGAGUGGAAUUCCUGGUGUAGCGGUGAAAUGCGCAGAUAUCAGGAAGAACACCCGUGGCGAAGGCGGCUCUCUGGGACGGCAUUGACGCUGAUGAGCGAAAGCUAGGGGAGCAAACGGG
rnacentral:rRNA from 1 species